UAACAUAAGUAACCUGCCCUAGACAGGGGGAGUGACUAUUGGAAACGAUAGCUAAGACCGCAUAGGUACGGACACUGCAUGGUGACCGUAUUAAAAGUGCCUCAAAGCACUGGUAGAGGAUGGACUUAUGGCGCAUUAGCUGGUUGGCGGGGUAACGGCCCACCAAGGCGACGAUGCGUAGCCGACCUGAGAGGGUGACCGGCCACACUGGGACUGAGACACGGUCCAA
rnacentral:rRNA from 1 species